rnacentral:lncRNA from 1 species
AGGACCCCAGAAGCUCCUACCAAAUGUACCCACUGCAUCUGAAAGCAGCUUCUGCCUUCAGUAUCUGAGGUCUUCCUACAUGCCAGCUGAACUAAAAAUCAGUUACCUGCAGGUCUUCUUUGCCUAUUCUCAUUUGACCUAGGAGCCUGGGCAGCAAGUUUCCCGCCUCUUCCCUUCUGGUCUUCGUGAUCUUCAUCACUGAAAAUCCCUUAAGAAAUCAAGCCUGCUUCAUUUUGUGACAUCAUCAUCUCAACCAAGACCUCUGACCUCUAUAAUCUACAUGGAACAAAAGAAAACCUGGAAACUCUUAAAGUUCUGGAUGCUGGGAGGUUCAAGAUGAAGAUACUGGAAGAUUCAGAGUCUG